GAUCCGUCGUAAAUUAAAAUGCUUUUGUUUGUAUUUCUGCAGUUUUCAUACAAUUUCUUUUUUUUAAUUUUGGUUACGGAAAGGGUUUUAAUUCUGAGUAUGUUGGUGCCUCUGAGAAAUUUCAUGUUCUCUGCUUGCCACGCAUGUCCUCUGCUUCGUCCACCAGAUCUCCACAUCCUACCUCCACUGCCACUUUGAUUGGUUCAGGUGGUGCACAACUGAUUCCACUUACUUCUUCAUUUCGUUUCGCCAUCACAGAGACCGACCGGUUGUGACGGCUUCACACAUCAGUCCACGCUGAACGAUGGCGGCGGCUAGGAGGUGUUCCGGUUACUGGAACGUCUACAGGAGGCGGAGGUGUUCCGGCAGAGGGGAUUUGGUUCAACACGGUUACGAUGACAGUGAGAUUUAGGAUUCCGACAACCCCUUGAUACUCCGACGGAAAGCUCCAGCCUUGAAUGUCACUUUUUCAGUUAGAACGGAGACAACCUGAGAUCCGGCUUGAAUGUCACUUUUCCAGUUAGUGAGCCUGGGUUUCGACUUUAGGUGACGGUCACCCCGUCGACGAAGAACCGGCAAAGUUUAGGUGGAAAUGGAUUGAACAAAAAGUGAGAAAUUAGAGGCGUGGGUCGAACGGGUCAUAACUGGCAUGGAAAAUCUUGCCCUACCCAUUACAACUCAUAUCCCAAAACCCCUUGGAAGGUUAUUAAAGCAAUUUCAUUAUGUAGUUUCGUUAUUUUUAUAUGUAAUAUAAAAAAUGGUCAAUCGAGAGUAUUUUGGUGUUUUUUUCAAUUGCAAGUCUUGCUGAGUAAUCUUGAUAGUGGAAAGUUGAUGAAUAUUAAUUUUCUUUUUCAAGUAAAAAAAACUUUUUAAGCCAACUCAAGGCCAAAGCCGUUGCGACCCGAGCCCGCUUUGACUUGAACUCAUUCUGACCCAAACUUGAAAGUUGUGAUUUAAGGUAUCGCAUGGUGGAUUCGAGACUAUGGUGGUGUUUGGUAAUGGUAGUUCUUUGUCGUUGUUUAAACUUUAAAGCUUCGUCAAGAGUUGAGUAGCUUUAAUAAUAAUUCUUCCCCGGGUGAGUGGAUUCUUUGUUGAGCAAGAUCAAACCCCAAAAGUACAUUCAGUAACUCUGCAUUGAAGGUGUAUAUAUUUCUUUGACGUUUUGAUAUACGCCUUCAUCACUGAAUCGUGUGCGCGUUUGUAUAUCUAUUCGGUUAAUUUUUUUAGUUGUUUCAGCGCGGGCUGAAACCAACUUUGCCCUCACGCAACGCACGACACUUGCUACUGCAAGAUGAGAGCCAAAGGAGCAAAAGUCUACCAGGACCUAAACAAGAAAGGGGCCAUAUAAGAAUGCUGACAUUUAAUGAACCACCUACCAACAUUUAUAUUAAUUCGAAGAAAAAAGCCGUAAGCAUGAACUAAAUUAAAAACACGCACUGUUGGUACUCGCGCAACACGCGACGGCGAAUACUCCUGGUUAAUAUAAUACAUUGAUUGACGUUGAGUAACUGAUCAAGAAAAAGAAACAAAAGUUCAUUGGAAUUUGCAAACAUGGUGAUGGUGGGGUGUUGUUUCAUGAGCAAAAAUGAAACAAAAGUUUCCAGAAAUAUUUAACUAUGAAAUUGAAAGCUGGUGACGUGGAUAUAUAUCUAGAAUAGUCUUGCAAUAUUUACAACACCAUCCUAAAUUUAGCAAAACUUGGAACCUCAAUGCUAAAGAAAGUUGUACACAAACUCUUAAUGAAGUUACAUCACAUAUUGUGUGAGGUUGUUUUAA